rnacentral:rRNA from 1 species
UACGUAGGCAGCGAGCGUUUGUUCGGAAUUACUGGGCGUAAAGAGUGUGUAGGCGGUGCUCUAAGUUCGGUGUGAAAUCUCCUGGCUCAACUGGGAGGGUGCGCCGGAAACUGGAGUGCUUGAGCGUGGGAGAGGAAAGCGGAAGUUCCUGGUGUAGCGGUGAAAUGCGUAGAUAUCAGGAGGAACACCUGUGGUGUAGACGGCUUUCUGGACCAUAGCUGACGCUGAGACACGAAAGCGUGGGUAGCAACAGG